rnacentral:rRNA from 1 species
AUUGAACGCUGGCGGCAGGCUUAACACAUGCAAGUCGAGCGGGGUAAUGGUGCUUGCACUAUCACUUAGCGGCGGACGGGUGAGUAAUGCUUAGGAAUCUGCCUAUCAGUGGGGGACGACAUCUCGAAAGGGAUGCUAAUACCGCAUACGUCCUACGGGAGAAAGCAGGGGAUCACUUGUGACCUUGCGCUAAUAGAUGAGCCUAAGUCGGAUUAGCUAGUUGGUGGGGUAAAGGCCUACCAAGGCGACGAUCUGUAGCGGGUCUGAGAGGAUGAUCCGCCACACUGGGACUGAGACACGGCCCAGACUCCUACGGGAGGCAGCAGUGGGGAAUAUUGGACAAUGGGGGGAACCCUGAUCCAGCCACGCCGCGUGUGUGAAGAAGGCCUUAUGGUUGUAAAGCACUUUAAGCGAGGAGGAGGCUCUUUUGGUUAAUACCCAAGAUGAGGGGACGUUACUCGCAGAAUAAGCACCGGCUAACUCUGUGCCAGCAGCCGCCGUAA